CCACCAGCUCAGGUGUAAUGGUGUGCUGGAGGGUAUCAGAAUCUGCAGGAAGGGUUUCCCCAGCAGAAUCCUCUAUGGUGACUUCAAGCAGAGGUACAAAGUAUUAAAUGCUAGUGUCAUCCCUGAGGGACAGUUCAUUGACAACAAAAAGGCUACAGAGAAACUCUUGGGCUCUAUUGAUGUUGACCACACCCAAUACAAAUUUGGACACACCAAGGUGUUCUUCAAAGCUGGUCUGUUGGGUGCCAUUCAU